UAAUACAUGCAAGUCGAGCGGUAACAGGCUCUCACAGUUCGCUUAAGUUCCAUGGUCCCCGGACCAUGGAUGACGAAGUCACACCGAAAGGCCGGCUAGCCUGGACGUGCGAGGGAGUUUAUUAAGCGAUGUGUGAGAGUGCUGACGAGCGGCGGACGGCUGAGUAACACGUAGGAACGUACCCCAAAGUGAGGGAUAAGCACCAGAAAUGGUGUCUAAUACCGCAUGUGAUCCAAGGAUUAAAGCUCCGGCGCUUUGGGAACGGCCUGCGUAUGAUUAGAUUGUUGGUAGGGUAAUGGCCUACCAAGUCGACGAUCAUUAGCUGGUCUGAGAGGAUGAUCAGCCAGACUGGGACUGAGACACGGCCCAGACUCCUACGGGAGGCAGCAGUAGGGAAUUUUCCACAAUGGGCGAAAGCCUGAUGGAGCAACGCCGCGUGCAGGAUGAAACCCCUAGGGGCGUAAACUGCUUUUAUAUGUGACGAAUAUGACGGUAGCAUAUGAAUAAGGAUCGGCUAACUCCGUGCCAGCAGCCGCGGUCAUACGGAGGAUCCAAGCGUUAUCCGGAAUUACUGGGCGUAAAGAGUUGCGUAGGUGGCAUAGUAAGUUGGUAGUGAAAGCGUUCGGCUCAACCGGAUACACAUUACCAAAACUGCUAAGCUAGAGGAUGAGAGAGGUUAUUGGAAUUCCCUGUGUAGAGUGAAAUCCGUAGAU
rnacentral:rRNA from 1 species